UUGAACCAUUUCCCUUUUUUCUUUCCAGAAGGCUUCCAUCUUUUUGGUAAGCUCCAAUUUAAAUUCUUGAAAAGCUUGUGGAAAAUUUCCUUUUUGGGAGGGAGGGGGAAGGUGUUGGUGCAUUUAUUUGGACUUCCUCUCCUGCUCUUUCCUCUGUAGUCCGGAUUUUUCCACCAUAAAAAUUGUCCAGGUCAAUGCCUUCUUCCUGUUUUUCUUGGUGUUGGAAAGUUGUUCCUGGGCACUGUUUGCCCUCACUAUGGUUGUUUUUCCUUCCCUUUCUAGUCAGAAAUCUGAGUGAGAAGGGAAGGCUCUCUGUGGAUGGAGCUAAGGAGCAAGAAUUUUGCCUGAGGCCAGCUCUCGAGUGUCUGCAGCUUCUUCUAUUUGCUGUUCUUCUCUGUGCCAUCUCCCCACAUGCACCCAUGGUCUGUGCUCUUCAGCCUGCUGAGAAGACCAAUGACAUCAUGGGAUGA
rnacentral:lncRNA from 1 species